AAAAAAAAAAAUAAGCAGGAAACAGAGAUUGCAUCCAAAAAUAUAAAUUUAUCUCUACAUGUCAGAAGCCACCACCAUGUAGGACAGGCGGCGGGACGACAUCCUGGGAAAUAAAGCGAUGUGUCAUUUGUGGAGAUACUUCCUGACUAAAGACAUUGUGCAGGAGUAAAUGUCUAUUUAAAAAUUCAACUCAUUGAUGCGGACGGUUUGCAUGUCCAAAAGUGUCAGUGAUUGUAGGGAUAAAUGAGCAUUGCCAGUCUUAAAACAAAAAAAAAAAACAACAACAAAAAAAAAAAAAACAAGAAGCAACAAAACUGUUUCACUUUGAGUGCAGCUUUGAACUGCAGGUGAAACUUCACAGCCGUGGAGAUGAACUUCCAGCCAGGUCAGUGUGUUAGGCGACAGAGAGAGCAGCCCUAUCCACCAGCAUCCACCAGCAUUGUCUCAGGAUGUAUUACAGUAUAUGGGUGCCCCCUAGCGUAUGAUUUUUUUCUCUCUUCAAAUAAGAUUCAAUUUAGAGGAGCCAUCCGAGACGGAAACAGCUUCAGUCUCGUGUCUCUCGCAUCGACCAACCAAACUAACGAGCUGCAGUUUAAACUGAUGACUGUUUUAAUUUCGCUCAACACAACCGUGGAUGGGGGGGAAAGCUUUGAUAGCUGCAGGAGUUGGACUUUUGCACAUUUUUUCCCGCUACCUUUACUAAUCCCAGUGGUUGUAUCAAACCAAAUUACAUCUAAUAUUGAGAGAAAUUAGCCGAAUAUUUUUAUUUUUUUUGCUUGCAUUAUUAUUUUUCGUUUACAGAUCCAGCGAAAGUGGAAACAGUCCCAAAAGACCCUGCGAGGAUCCAGUUUCACAUAGAAAAAGGAGUGAAAAAAAAAAGUUUGAGAGGAGAGAAAGUCGCGACAGCACUCUGCGCAGAGCCAGACGUGGCUCACAUGUGCCCCCCCCCCAGGCUACAGACGGGGUUUUGGGUUACUGUAACUCAAGGUGUGUUGUGGUUGUAAGGGUGAGUAUGUAAAAAGUACACACACGUAUGGAGAGGCGCAUUUCAGUUUCAGCUUACCCUUAGAGCUUGAGUUUUACGUUUUUUUUUAUUUUUAUAUCACUUAUAGUUUUUUUUAUAUCACUUAUUUUCUGGUAUACGGUGAUAGUAAACACAUAUUAGCGCCAUCAAGGACAUCAACGUAAUGUUCCUUUUGAACAAUAUUCACACCAUGAUACCAAUAUCUUCUAAUAAAAUCACCAUGUUAGUAGGUCUUGAAAUAAAAUCAAGGCAGCCAUAUAAACAGGACCCGUUAUGGCUUGUAUUGUUAUAUCUGGCAAUAACAAUAUGCAGUUCAAAUAAAUGAUCUCUGUUUAGUCACUGA